GGGAGUUGUUGGUUGUGGGUGGGGUGGAAAGAUUUGAUACAUCUGUUUUAUUUUUUCUCUAAUUGAAAAAAAAUAAAUGGAAAAGAGAUUAAAUCUUUCCUACUCCUCCCAUACCCAUGACCUCC
rnacentral:miRNA from 1 species